UUUAUAAUCGCCGAUUGUCAACAACUACAAAAACGAGCCCCGAGGAUUGAAUUUUUGUUUACACAAGUUAUGAAAGCGACAUCGCUUGGAUUGGAUCGUGAACAGCAAGUAUCCGAAUUUUUCAUUUUUGUAAUAAACAUCUUCGAAAACAAUAUUCUUCCUUUCCAUUUUGAGAGUCACUUUGAUCAGCCAAUUUGACAGUAUAAAAAUAUUGUUUCUUCUAUUGAGAAGUAUAUAAUGUACAUUUUAUUCGAGGUUUCGGACCGCUUCGGAUACCGAUCUGACCAAGUAAACACUUGGUGGUGCCGUAAAACAGUUUUUGGAAGGUACUUCUUAGCUAAAAUCAUGCCACAACUGCAUUAUUACCUGUUGUUUGUAACGACUUUAUAGUUUUAGAAUUGAGUCUUUGAGAGAAUUCUAUUACAAAAAGAUAUAAAUCGUUCAACCGGUCGUGAUAGGUAAGACAGACUACAUAUUGUUCUCAGAAAACAAUUCUAAUCGAAAUUUUAAAAACGGUUAUUUGACCGGUCGUGGUAGGAAUUGUGUUAAAACUAUCAUAUCUAACAGUGAAUGGUUCAAUGAAAGUGAUCAUAAUAGAACAGUGUGAUAAUUACAUUCGUUAUUUAGUUUUGAGUAAAAAAAACGCACUUUGAAACAAUGCCGGAAAAUAAUAGUGGCAACGCAAUGAGUGCCCCCGAAGUCAACGAAGUUGGAAUACGUAUGUCACCAUUUUGGUAUAACAACCCGGAUUGUUGAGCUGAAAGGACAAUUUGCACUAAACAGCAUAUCAGCCGACAUUAUUAUAUCAGAGGAGAAGCGCAGCGCGAAGAAGAUGGAGAAGAUGAAGCAAAUCGUGAAGUCCAUCGCAGCCAGGUGUUUAAUGGUAUCACCGCAGAUUCGGAGAUCGCUCAACGAGAUGUACGGCGCCCUGCACCUACGUUAAUCAACGGGGAAAUGAGAUCGAUCGACACUAGACGAGGCGACGAGCAUCUAUCUGAAAACAAGCUGCCUCUUCAUGACCGAUCGAGACAUAAAGAGAAUUCUGCGCGCAGGUGGAGGACCAAAAUCACCUCACAACGGGUCGACAAAUCCGAAGACGACAAGGAUAUUCCUCAAAAGCUGAGGAGAACUAUCAUCGCAUAUGACGGGUCCCUACAGCCCGCGUCGCGUCGGUACCGUCGUAAACUAUCCCAGAUCCCCGUCAAGGAAAAGGACUUUUCCGGGACAAGCGCGGCAAUCCAGCCCACUUCGUUGACAAAGGCACUUCGUCGGAGUGAAAUCUCCGCUUUAUUGGGUUGACAAGAAAGCAACUUCGAUUUGCACCAAUAGAUAACGGAUGUAACACGAGGGCGGCUAUAACAGGUUGAAUAUCUCAAAAUAUUUGAUACAUGCUAUUAUAGGAUUCAGAUGUACAGGAUGUAUGCGUUAAGUUUUAUCACCAUUUUUUAGACAUUUUUGGUAAGGCAAUAAAGUAGUAGGUGAGCUAUAUGUUCGCAUAUUCUCAAAUUUCAAAAAAUGUAACGUAAUCUAACGUAAAAAAAUCAAGAUCGCAUUGACAUUUUUAAAUAACACCAUAUGCCUACAACGUCAUAGAAUUGUUGCUGACGUUAAGACGAAUUCAACGGUAUAUUAUACUAUGAUCUUGAAAUGACCUUGAACUCGGAAAUUUUGUACAAACGUAAUUUUAAUGAAAACUUAUUUCACGCAAAAAGAUAUCAGAUUAUAUUAGAUGAUCGAACUGCGAUCCAUCUUUACAUUCUUUAAUUGUAUUAUCGAAAAUGACUACAAAAUGGUGACAAAACUUAACGCAAACACACUGUUUAAUGUAAAAUGAUAUUUGAAUCACACUCAUCUAUCAUGCUUAGGUAAAUACGAAAUAUAGUAAAUUCGACUCAAUUAUUUUUGUUAAUAACUCGUAAACAAAGACGCGGAUUGCAUAUUCGCUAAUGGAAAAGUUACUUUAAAU